rnacentral:rRNA from 1 species
UCGAGAAUCUUCGGCAAUGGGCGCAAGCCUGACCGAGCGACGCCGCGUGCGGGAUGAAGGCCCUCGGGUUGUAAACCGCUGUCGAGGGGGAUGAAAUUCCAUAGGGUUCUCCCUAUGGAUUGACAAAACUCUGGAGGAAGGGUGGGCUAAGUUCGUGCCAGCAGCCGCGGUAAGACGAACCACCCAAACGUUAUUCGGAAUCACUGGGCUUAAAGAGUGCGUAGGCGGCUCAGAAAGUAAGGUGUGAAAUCCCACAGCUCAACUGUGGAACUGCGCUUUAAACUACUGAGCUAGAGGGAGAUAGAGGUGAGCGGAACUGAUGGUGGAGCGGUGAAAUGCGUUGAUAUCAUCAGGAACACCGGAGGCGAAGGCGGCUCACUGGGUCUCUUCUGACGCUGAGGUACGAAAGCUAGGGUAGCGAACGGG